CAAGAAUAUCCCGGUCAGCUCGUGAAGGCUACCCAACCGCCCCUUCAAAACGGAACGUAACAACCUGAUUAGUAGUUUGGUAUAACCAUUGAUUGCAGAUUUGGAUGCACGAUUUCAGCCGUCUCCAGGAAGAUGUUUAUCGUCUGCUGAACGACGCCAUCUGGUGGCAUGCAGUGUUUUGGCAGACGACUUCCGGUACAUCGGGGUCAUCAUGACCAGGAUCAAGAGCUGAGCUACUAAACCAUUCGAGCCUCGGUGGAGUUGGAACACAUCAUCUGACUGUAAACUACUCGCCCAAAGGAUAUGAAUCAAACAGAAAUCCUGUAGAUCUAGAAAUCCAAUAAAGAAAAUCAUCUGA